CACUCAGCCACGCGGCCCAGCUGACUCCCGCUCGUCCUUCACGUUGUGGCUGAAAUUUCAGAUCCUGCAGGGUGCGGUUUCUGGACCCGCAGGCUCUGGUGCCCCUGCCCGCACUUCUGUGAAGCACUGAACACUUCUAUCACUCACCCUUGGGAAAGCCGACUGCCGUGUCCUGAGGCAACCUUGCUGAGAGGUCCAUGUGGCAAAGGACUGAGGCCUGCCAAAAACCACAUGAAUGAACUUAAAAGAAGAUUCCCACCUUACUCCAGGUCAGGCAUUCAGAUGAGAUCACAGCCUCAGCCAAUAGCUUGACGCAGCCUCAUGAGAGACUUUGAGCCAGAGUUGCCUAGGAGCUGGUGAGCCUGGAAGCUUAUUUAGGAAGAGGAAAUGAAACUGAAAAGACACAGUAAGAUUCCUCUUUUUCUUGGAAGCAAGGCACGAUAUGAAUAAUUCUCAUGCUGUCCAAUUAACUGCCUCAAGUACAAAUAGAAAAAAAAAUACACACUUGGUUAUUUGGAAGAAAUUGAAGAAAAAGCGAAGA